GUUAACACUAUCUGCUUGAGUCGUGCGUAGCACUGUCCUAAGAAACUGUUUCAUGAAUUGAAAUGUCUCCCCAAGAUUAAACAAGUCUUCUUCUUGUUACGAAUAAGAAAGAUAAACUUUCUUUUCUUGUUGCAAACAAGAAGGACCAGAACUAGCAAAUUAAACCAGCAGAUAUAAGGAGAGAAGAAGAGAACAGAAUUGUCAGGAAGGUAUCAACUGUCACUAAUAAUAGAGAGAGAGAGAGAGUCAGAGCAGCUAUCAGGAAGGUAUCAAAUGAAGCUGUCGGGGUGAGUUUCUGAGGAGGGAAUGGAUGCUAUUUAUAGAUUUUAGAAUGAGGUGCAACCCUUCUCACUUUCGAUGUGGGACAAAGACUGCAACUCUUCUCACUUCCCGAUGUGGGACAGAGAAAGCAAUCCUUCUCAUUUUUCGAUGUGGGACAAAACUUUUGAAAUACACUUAUAUUUUACAACACUAUGAAGCUCCGCAGAGUACAUUCCAGUUGUUUGGCACAAGAAUCGAAACAUAUUCUGAAUAGUCCCGAUCGCAGCAUAUGUAAUGCGUAAAAGAGUAAGGGGGACCAUAGACUUACCAAAACAUGCCGGUUGACGACAUAAUGUCAUGUGUAUGGUGGAAGAAGGCUAUGUCUCAAAGCUCCACCAUUGCAGCAGGGGAUUUUUAUAAGUAAGAGGUGCUCUUUCAUUCAGUAGCCGCAAUAAAAUCUAUCUUUUCUAUUAAAUGAAGUGAAAAAAAAGCUCACAUCUCAACGUGCCAAAAGAAGUAGCUUCAGCUGCCUUUCCAAUGGGAUACACGGGGCUACUCGCAGUGUCAAAAAUGGGUUGAUCCGAUUAUGACACAAAAACAAAAUGGGUCGUAAUGAGUCAACAAGUGGGUUGACAUGAAUGACAUGUUAUUGACCCGUUAAAACUUAUGGGUUGAUACGUUAACCCCAAACAUACAGCACAAGACGUUUGUAACCUGAAUUACCAUUUCUAUUAGGGAAUUCUAUUUCUUUUGGUACCUCUAGGAUAUACAACCAAACCAAAAGUAUAGAACUGAAAAAAAAAUCAAUUUCUUGGUUCUCUUCUACAUGUAAACCAAAUUUCUUUAAAUUUGCUUGUUAUCAUUGGAUUCCCCAUCUGGUGUUAGAACUGCGUGUGAUCAUCGUGGACAUUGAAUCUGUCCUCUUUCAAUUCAAGUGUUGUAUUGUGUAAAGUGGAUGUGGGAAUCAAAUUGUGUGCGCCCGUCACCGUCAGUUAGCAGCAUCCGCCAAGUGUAACUAUUACAUCCUUGGCUUUUAGUACGAGUGUGAAUCUAUUGGUUUGUGUUUCUCUAAGGAAAUACUAAACAGAAGAAAUUGAACACCCUUACUAUAUGUUUAACUUUUUUUACCGUCAUCCGUUGAUUUUAUCUUCAGAGUUACCGACGUUGACGGGUCAUUGCAUCACAGUAAUAAAAAACUGAUGGACCACGUCAAAUGAAUAAAUAGUUAAAUACUGGACGGAGCUAACAAAACAAAGCCUACCUCAAAUUACACGAGAAGUCAAUAAUGAAAUCUGGGCGAGAUUUGUGACUAGCAACAGGUCACCAUCUAAUUAGGCAAAAUAUAAAAUUAUAAAAAAAAACCCGAAAUGCCCCACGUCAGGAGGGUCGGCUAAAGAGUGGCUUCAAUGGGCUUUUGUUGGCCAGUACCAAAAUAAAAACGGAUGGGCCAUACAACAAUAGUUUUGUCUCAAACUCGAAUUUGGGCAAAACCAUUAUUAUUAUUAUUGACUUCCUAAUCCUACCACUGGGCUCAAACAAACCGUAUGGUAUGUCAAGGGGUUAAUUCAAAGCCAAAGGAAGAAGAGGGAAAGAGGUGAACUUUAUUACUACAAGUUGAAAGUUGAGUUUGGUGGCAUUAGAUUUCCAGCUUCCAUCCUUAAACCCACUUCAACAAAAUCCUUAGGGAAGCAAAGCCAUAUAUAUAUAUAUACUAGUUGAUGUGCGCCUCGCGCUUCGCGCGAGGUUGCGCAGAUAUUAUUUCUGCAAUGGGGUUAGUUUGUUAGUUUUGCUGGAACUCAUGAAUAAAGUGUAUUUACACUGCAAAAGAUACUGCAUUGAAAAAAGUAGUAUUAACAUCAGGAAAGGCAGAACUGGUCUAAUAAAGGCAGACCUGUUAAGCACCAGCCUAGGAUGACUAAAUGUUUCUGUGCAAUUCCACAGAUGGCAACACACGGAAGGUGCCAAUUGUCCAGAUACAAUGAUCAUUCACAGCCAUGCAAUUGUCCAGCACCAGCCUAGGAGGAUGACCAAAUGUUUCUGUGCAAUUCCACAAUUGGCCACACACGGAAGGUGCCAAUAGGGGACCAAACUAUUCUCAAAUAAGUGAACCAAGGGCAGGAUCGGUAUAUUAGGGCACCACCGUCAAAAGCCAACCCAACAACAAAUGCCAGCCAUAAAUUUCUCAAAGCAUCACACAAUAACCACACCACCCAUGUUCCAAAAUUACAAAACUACCCACACACUUAAGGUGCCAAUGAGGGACCAAAAUCACUGUUCCUAAGACCAUUCGCCCUUUUACUCUAUUAGGAUAGGAUGUAAGACUAGAGGCCCUCUAGAACAUUAGUUAAAUACAUAGUAACAAAUGUUUUAGUACAUAAUAAAUAGAAAUAUAGGAAAAAAAUUAAGUAUAAAAAUAAUUAAAAUUUGUUGUGAAAAGAAAUUCCAUCUAUAAAGUUAACCCCAAUUUAUUGUGAUUUGGACAAAGAGUUUUCAACCAAUAUUAUGUGUACAUAAUGAUACCAAAAAAAAAAAGAAAGCAAAUCCAUUAUGAGUGCAUUAUCGAUUUAAUAGCAGCAUAGUUUUAGUUGUAAUUAAAUAAAAAGUAGUUAUAAUGUUUCUAACAUUUUAAUAAUUAGAAAAAAUAUAGAAAGCCACCAAAACCUGUCACAAUCUUCAACAUCAAUAAAAAAACAUACAAACUUGCAUAUUUUUUUCUUUUUUGAGAGAAAAAGCAAGUUAAUUUAUCCAUUUAAAUCAUGUCUAAUAGCAUUACAAAUAUAUGAAAAUAUUAUCUAACCAAAUAGUUAUAGAAUACAUAUAGCAAGUUUAAAUAAAAACAUGAAUUGCCAUGUUUCUAAAUCUACAUAUGCAAAUUCAAAUCCAACUUUGAUUGCAAUUAUGUCUUCUUAAUCAAAAUAGAAUUUUCUAAUAAUAUUUUGUCGAGUGACUGUGAUGCCCGAAAGGAAAAGAAGCAAAAAAAAAAUUUGGUGGAAAAUGGGAGGUCCAAAUCCGGCCAGUUCUUGGCCGGAUUCCCUGCCGGAUUGUUUGUGCAUUUUGAAAAAAUGGGAUUUCGUUUUGCCCUGAAUCCGGCCUGGAAUCCGGCCGGAUUGUGACGUGGCAUGUCAGCCAUCAAUUUUGACCAGCUGAUUUUCUUCCUUCUUAUCUUGCUUUUGGCUGAAAUAUCUUCCAUUUCCUACUCCUUUCUUGGCCGGCUGUCUUGGAGAGAAAACAAGAGAGGAAAAACUCCUUUUCUUUCCCUUUGAUUUUCUUCACUAAAUCUUGAGAUUUCACCGAUGGUUUUGGAAACUACUCCAUACAAGUGUGUACUAAGGAGGUUUAAAGAGGUUGGUGGAGUUGUUUUGGAAGGAAAAGCUCUAAGUCAUCAUUUUUCUUGAGGACUUAAGGUAUCUUGCUUGAAAAAUUCUCUCUUUGUUCUAAUAAUGGCAUAUUAAUGGUUUAUAGUGGUUAAAUAUGUUGUAUUGUGGAUGAUUUCAUGAUUUUAAGUAGAGUUGGACCAAUUUCUGAUUUAUUGGGGCAUUUUUUGAUUUUAUAUGAUUAUGGUUCGUUGGUCAUGGAAUGAUAGCUUGUUGUGGUGUAAAAUGGAUCUUGUAUACGUUGGAUAUGAUUGUUUGCGGAAAAUUUCUGGUUUGUGUGGAAAUUUCAGUUCUAGGGUUUUGAAUUGGGGCUUUCUUGUGAUUAGUAUUGGAGCUAUUAAUUGGCUCAAGUGGAAGGGUAUUGUGGCCCUAAUUGAAUGUGUUUUAUUGCUUAUGACCUGUAUGUGUAAUUGUGAUUGGUAAGAUGCAAUUUGGUGUUUUUAUUGUAGGGUGGAAAUAAAGAAAUUAAGGGGAAGUGCUGUCCAAUCUUUGAGAGCAUUUGAUCGCUUUGAGUUGAGUUGCCUUUUGGUAGAAAUGAAGGAUCUUGCUUUGCUUGUUUUCAAGGUGUUGGAAGGCAUAAUCAUUAGAAGCUUCUUUUGUUCUUUAAUCUUGUGAUUAAGUAUUGGAUAAGUUGAUCUUGAUUAAUUUUAUAGAGAUUCAUGUGAUUUGGAAGUUGGGAUGAUGAAGUUCCAUGUUGGUGAUAUUUCCAAACUUUAUCUAAGUGAUUUCAUUUUUGAUUUGCCAUGUAUAUGAUUAGUAGAAGCUAUUCUAGUGUUAAGGUGGAAUUACUAGCCUUAAUUGUAAUUAGUGAUGGUUAUAUGCAAAGAUUUGUUUAGAAAUGUAAUUUCAGUUUUUAUGGUAUUAUUUCUGCCCUCAUGUGAUAAGUAGUGGUUGUUCAUAGCAUGAUAGCUUGAUAUUGUGAUAAAUGAAGCUUUGGUAUACUAGUUUUGAUUACCUAAAGGAAUUUCAGCUAGAGUACAUGAAUUCCAGAUUAGGGUUUCCAAUUGUGGUAGUAAUCUAUCCUAUUUUUGCACUGUAUGUUUGACCGUAAAAGAGACUGAAUCGGCCCUUGUUCAAAACAUGAAACUUGUAGAUACAUGAGUUAGCUAGUUACCUACAAAAUUUCAGAUUUGACUGGAGUACUGUAGCCUGUGAAAUGAUCGAAAUACCCUUGACUGCCCAUAACCCCUGUUUCAUGGACAGUUUCCUUUCUCUCUAAGAUUCAGUUUUUGACCCUGAAUAUGUAUGAUUUGGCUUUGGAGGUCUUCAUAGGAAAUGUUGGUAUAUGUCUUAGCUUCGUAAAGUCAUAAGAUUCGUUUCAAUCGGAUAAGUGUAGCUUUACUUGUGAUUAAAAUGCCAAAAGGUGAUAAAAGCUUGAUAAUGUUAGAAUUCCUUUGCUUGACCUGAUAUUUGUGAUCUAGGGCUUGGACUUGAGCAAGGCAAUGAUAUAUGAUGGAUGGUUCAUGAGCCGUGAUUGGGCUAAAGGGCUUGUAGUACUUAUUCAUGUGAUCGGAUGGGUUACCUCAUGUACAGUUUGAAUUCGGACUCCUCUUGUGUAAUAGUUAGGAUUGUUUGAAUGUUUAGACUUGAACAAAUGUAUAUAUAUGUUCCACUCUUGGAAAUUUGUUUGCUUCGUUUUUGGGAACUAGUUUCCGCUUCGCUUAUGAUAUGAAAUUCUUGGAGAAUUGGAUGUAAUUUUGAGAUAUAUCUUGUAAGUUAUUUGAGGACUGUAGUGAGUAACUGAGUCCCGACGAGAGUUGGGCAGGCGGUCCGCCGAACCCUUUGGUUCGCCUUAGGGGGAGGUGGGCCUGUCACAGUGACACUC